GGGAGGCUCCACCAGGACAUCUUCGUCCAGCUCGAGGAGGUGGGUAAUGGGGAGGGAUCCGCCAGGAUGCCGUACAUUCCGCCACGCCACCGGCGAGCUCUUGGAGCCGCCGCCGAGAGAAGAAACAUCGGUGGCCGCGCAGCAGGCGUCGGGAGCAUCGCCUAGUGGUGGAAAGAUCAGGUAGAGGGCUGCCGUCAGUCCGUGCUGUGGCGCCAUGGAGCAAGUUGCUGGCCGCUCAUUUCUCUCUGUGCUCACUGUGCCCUAAUUAGCCGGUAUCCAUGAAAGAGAGAUGCAAUCCUUGUUCUUCCCAAUCACCACUUAAAAGCUUUGUUGUGGCAAGUACGCCCUCUGUAACAAUCCAAUUUUGUUUACUUCAGUCGCUUUUGGUUUUCACUCCCUUCAAUAUAAAGGUACUCAUCCGCCAGGAAAUUAAAUAUUGAGGAAGAUGUUUAGGAUACAGAAAAUAGCGUGGAUUUUCAAGGUAAAACACAUCUCAAGCUGAUGUUUUAUUCGUCUUUGCACUAAUUUAACAAUGAUUCGUCGUUGCCGCUGUUGAAUUAGAGCCGCUCCAGAGUUGAGGCUGCGCGGGCUUGUGGCGACUCGAUCUGCGUCGAACACCUAUUUCUGUGUUGGAAUAGUAAAGCGGAGAUGAUGCUAGGCAAGUUCAUUCUUACCAUGGUUCUUGACUAUUUUUUCUUCUUCUUACCUGUGUUUAUCCUUCUUUGUGUUGAAGGUCCAUGUUAGUAGAGACUAUAUGUGUUGAUAACCUGUAAGAAUUCAGAGAAUUUAGAGGACAGGUUCCUUUCAUCUAUGGUUUUCUUGGACUUUAUUUUUAUUCUGCAGUGGAGAUGGUUACUGGAAGAGAUCAAAGCAAUUGGAUGUGGUAUUGGAGAGACCAGACCUCUGGGAGGAUUCAGUUUUCGCCAGGAAGGUUAGUCGUGAGUAAGGUGAGAUCAUGGGUAAGAUUAAGUCAGUGAACCAAUUCGAGCAGGAAUUGAAGGAGCACAUUGACACGUUGAGGCAUGCACAUGGAGAGGGUGAUAAUGAACUCGAGAUGGAAUACAUGAAAGCAUUAGCCGAUAUGAGAAGAGAUAUAAAGGAGAAGGAACUGAAUGCAUUGUUUUCAGGAGAUCGUGACCCUUACCCUUGCUUCACUGAGGUAUAUUUGUGGCAUUAUCUUAAGAAAUUUAAGUGAAGAGCUCACUAUAUAACUAUUGUGCAAUAGCCGGAGAAAGGUAAUGAAGAACUUGGAAGCCUGUAUGAUUGGAAGUUUGUUUUCCUCCUCUAUUAUUAAGGUACUUUUCUGUUGUUAAAUUUUUUGAAUGUCCCAGAUUUUCUGAUAAGAAGUUGGACCAUGAUCUAUUGAUUUUCUCCAUCCUAGAUAGGAUAAUCCUGCAACCUUUGCAUUA